UCAGUCUCAUUGGUGCUGAAGGAUUCUUCC
rnacentral:piRNA from 1 species